UAGUCGACGGUGCUUCUUCUUCGGAAGAUGUAACCCGGCGGACGGCUCAGUAACACGUGGACAACUUGCCCUUGGGUCCGGAAUAACCCCUGAGAAAUUGGGGAUAAUACAGGAUAGAGCAUCGGUUGCUGGAAUGCACGGUGUUCGAAAGUUGAGGCGCCCAAGGAUAGGUCUGCGGCCGAUUAGGUUGUUGUUGAUGUAACGGAUCAACAAGCCUACGAUCGGUACGGGUUGUGAGAGCAAGAGCCCGGAGAUGGGUUCUGAGAGAAGAACCCAGGUCCUACGGGACGCAUCAGGCGCGGAAACUUUACAAUGUGCGAAAGCACGAUAAGGGAACUCUGAGUGCCUCCUAAGGAGGCUGUUCAGGUGUCUAAAAAGCACUUGAAGGAAGGGCUGGGUAAGACCGGUGCCAGCCGCCGCGGUAACACCGGCAGCCCAAGUGGUAGUCACGCUUAUUGGGUCUAAAGCGUCCGUAGCCGGCUGAGUAAGUUCUUUGGGAAAUUUAACCGCUUAACGGUUAAGCUUUCAGUGAAUACUGCUUAACUUGGGACCGGGAGAGGUCAAAAGUACCUCAAGGGGUAGGGGUGAAAUCCAUUAAUCCUUGAGGGACCACCGGUAGC
rnacentral:rRNA from 1 species